rnacentral:rRNA from 1 species
GACGAACGCUGGCGGCGUGCCUAACACAUGCAAGUCGAGCGAGUGAAUCUCCUUCGGGAGUGAAGCUAGCGGCGGACGGGUGAGUAACACGUGGGCAACCUGCCUCAUAGAGGGGAAUAGCCUUCCGAAAGGAAGAUUAAUACCGCAUAAGAUUGUAGCUUCGCAUGAAGUAGCAAUUAAAGGAGCAAUCCGCUAUGAGAUGGGCCCGCGGCGCAUUAGCUAGUUGGUGAGGUAACGGCUCACCAAGGCGACGAUGCGUAGCCGACCUGAGAGGGUGAUCGGCAACAGUGGGACUGAGACACGGCCCAGACUCCUACGGGAGGCAGCAGUGGGGAAUAUUGCACAAUGGGGGAAACCCUGAUGCAGCAACGCCGCGUGAGUGAUGACGGCCUUCGGGUUGUAAAGCUCUGUCUUCAGGGACGAUAAUGACGGUACCCGAGGAGGAAGCCACGGCUAACUACGUGCCAGCAGCCGCCGUAA